GACGAACGCUGGCGGCGCGCUUAACACAUGCAAGUCGAACGGAAAGGCCCUGCUUUUGUGGGGUGCUCGAGUGGCGAACGGGUGAGUAACACGUGAGUAACCUGCCCUUGACUUUGGGAUAACUUCAGGAAACUGGGGCUAAUACCGGAUAGGAGCUCCUGCUGCAUGGUGGGGGUUUGAAAGUUUCGGCGGUUGGGGAUGGACUCGCGGCUUAUCAGCUUGUUGGUGGGGUAGUGGCUUACCAAGGCUUUGACGGGUAGCCGGCCUGAGAGGGUGACCGGCCACAUUGGGACUGAGAUACGGCCCAGACUCCUACGGGAGGCAGCAGUGGGGAAUAUUGCACAAUGGGCGGAAGCCUGAUGCAGCAACGCCGCGUGCGGGAUGACGGCCUUCGGGUUGUAAACCGCUUUCGCCUGUGACGAAGCGUGAGUGACGGUAAUGGGUAAAGAAGCACCGGCUAACUACGUG
rnacentral:rRNA from 1 species